GAAUUCUUUCGAAGCGAAUACCAGGCGGCUUCAAAUUCGAUCGCUCUUCUCGAUUAAGAAUAAUUCAAACUUAUUCUCUUUUGGAUCAUUCAUAUCUGUUGCAUAUUUUGAAUAGAAUAUGUCCGGGGAUGAUGGUGGUGAAGAAUCUGGUGGUCCUGGAGCAGCCUUUCAACAAUUUGUUGUUAUGGAAGAAUUUCUUGAUAAACUUAAACUAUUACACUAUGAGACAACUUUCUGUAAGGACUUAGGAUUUAAACCUUUCUCAAGACAUUACUUUGCCUUACCUACAAAUCCUGGAGAGCAAUUUUACUCUUUCACUUCUAUAUCUGCAUGGCUACUGCAAAUGUGUGGAAAAAAUUUUGAUCAACCUCAAGAAUAUGAUGAUCCAAAUUCAACGAUAUCAAAUAUACUAUCUCAAUUAAGGGACCUUGGACAUCAGAUUGACUUUCCUCCUAAUAAGCUUAAAGUGGGAUGUGGGGAGAAUUGCUUAUGGGUAAUUGAUCGGCUUGCUGAUGAAGCUCUUAAGGCAAAAAGUUUUUCCUGGAAAUCACCGACAUAUCCUGAAGAAGAAGCCGAAGAGGAUAACAUAAUCGAAGAUGAAGCUGAAUUAAACCUGAAUAAGGUUGAAGAAGAAAUGAUGCUUGAUGACGAUGAAGAAAUUGAAGAGGAGGAAAAUAUUCUCGGCUUGGACGAUUUAAACAAGUUAAAUUCUGGUCAAGCGAAAAAAAUUGAAUCUUCAAAGCCAGAAAAUAUCAUGGAGUCGACUACUGACGCCAAUGAAUGGAAAUUGGAAGUGGAAAGAGUAUUACCCCAACUAAAAGUUACUAUUAGAACAGAUAAUAAAGAUUGGAGAGUUCAUAUGGAUCAAAUGACAACAAAUAGUCAGGGAAUCGAAAAAUGCAUGUCUGAAACAAAACUUCAAUUGGACAAACUUCACGAUGAAAUUACUAAGACACUAGAAAAGAUAGGCAGUCGAGAAAAAUAUAUAAACAAUCAACUUGAACAUUUGCUUGUUGAAUUUCGAACUAUGCAAGAUCGAUUAGCCGAAACAAAGGAGAAAUACAGACAAGGAUCUGGAGGAGUAACUGAAAGGAGCAGAAUUUUAGCUGAAGUUGGUAGAGCUUAAUGUUAAAUGCUUUUAAGUAUAAAAAAUAACUCAUAUAACAAUUAAUUUUCUAUAGAUUGUUGAAGAUUUAGAGAGGGUUAAACAAGAGAUGGAGGAGAGAGGAUCAAAUAUGACCGAUGCCGCACCUCUUGUUAGAAUUAAACAAUCUAUGAAAAAAUUAAAGGAAGAUUGUACUCAAAUGGACAUACGAGUAGGCGUUAUACAACAUAUUCUACUUCAGGUAAACAAUUCAUUCAAAGCUUUUAAUUGAAAUUUUUAUACACUUUAUCCACAAUAGGCCAAGUUGAAGGAAAAGUCACAUCACAACGGUGGCCCCGGAAUUAGUGAGGAUGAUAGUCUUGCUUAUUAGCUUAAACACUCUAAAAGUAUUUAAAUAUCAAUUAUCGAUACAGCUACUUAUUUGCUUUUGUUUUCGUGUAAAUAUAUAUCUAUAAAUCAAGUAAAAGCAUAUUAUAACAGCAAUGUUAACUAUAAGUUGCUAAAUCAUUCACAAAUAAAAAAGGUUUAUAAGUUUA
rnacentral:misc_RNA from 1 species